GACGAACGCUGGCGGCGUGCUUAACACAUGCAAGUCGAACGGAAAGGCCCUGCUUUUGUGGGGUGCUCGAGUGGCGAACGGGUGAGUAACACGUGAGUAACCUGCCCUUGACUUUGGGAUAACUUCAGGAAACUGGGGCUAAUACCGGAUAGGAGCUCCUGCUGCAUGGUGGGGGUUGGAAAGUUUCGGCGGUUGGGGAUGGACUCGCGGCUUAUCAGCUUGUUGGUGGGGUAGUGGCUUACCAAGGCUUUGACGGGUAGCCGGCCUGAGAGGGUGACCGGCCACAUUGGGACUGAGAUACGGCCCAGACGCCUACGGGAGGCAGCAGUGGGGAAUAUUGCACAAUGGGCGGAAGCCUGAUGCAGCAACGCCGCGUGCGGGAUGACGGCCUUCGGGUUGUAAACCGAUUUCGCCUGUGACGAAGCGUGAGUGACGGUAAUGGGUAAAGAAGCACCGGCUAACUACGUG
rnacentral:rRNA from 1 species